rnacentral:rRNA from 1 species
GACGAACGCUGGCGGCGUGCUUAACACAUGCAAGUCGAACGGAAAGGCCCCUUUGGGGGUACUCGAGUGGCGAACGGGUGAGUAACACGUGAGUAACCUGCCCUUGACUUCGGGAUAACUUCAGGAAACUGGGGCUAAUACCGGAUAGGAAUCCUUGCUGCAUGGUGGGGGUUGGAAAGCUUCGGCGGUUUUGGAUGGACUCGCGGCUUAUCAGCUUGUUGGUGGGGUAGUGGCUUACCAAGGCUUUGACAGGUAGCCGGCCUGAGAGGGCGACCGGCCACAUUGGGACUGAGAUACGGCCCAGACUCCUACGGGAGGCAGCAGUGGGGAAUAUUGCACAAUGGGCGGAAGCCUGAUGCAGCAACGCCGCGUGCGGGAUGACGGCCUUCGGGUUGUAAACCGCUUUCAGCAGGGGCGAAGCUUGUGGUGACGGUACCUGCAGAAGAAGCACCGGCUAACUACGUG